rnacentral:rRNA from 1 species
GCGGAGGAAAAGAAACCAACAGGGAUUGCCCUAGUAACGGCGAGUGAAGCGGCAACAGCUCAAAUUUGAAAUCUGGCCUCGGCCCGAGUUGUAAUUUGCAGAGGAUGCUUCUGGCGCGGUGCCUUCCGAGUUCCCUGGAACGGGACGCCACAGAGGGUGAGAGCCCCGUAUGGUCGGACACCAAGCCUGUGUGAAGCUCCUUCGACGAGUCGAGUAGUUUGGGAAUGCUGCUCUAAAUGGGAGGUAAAUCUCUUCUAAAGCUAAAUACCGGCCAGAGACCGAUAGCGCACAAGUAGAGUGAUCGAAAGAUGAAAAGCACCUUGAAAAGGGGGUUAAAUAGUACGUGAAAUUGUUGAAAGGGAAGCACUUGUGACCAGACUUGGGCCGGGCGGCUCAUCAGGGGUUCUCCCCUGUGCACUCCGCCCGGCACAGGCCAGCAUCGGUUUUCGCGGGGGGACAAGACCGCCGGGAACGUAGCACCCUCCGGGGUGUGUUAUAGCCCGGCGGACGAUACCCCCGCGGGGACCGAGGUCCGCGCUCCGCAAGGAUGCUGGCGUAAUGGUCACCAGUGACCCGUCUUGAAACACGGACCAAGGAGUCGUCCAUUAGAGCGAGCGUUUGGGUGUAAAACCCGCACGCGUAAUGAAAGUGAACGCAGGUGAGAGCUUCGGCGCAUCAUCGACCGAUCCUGAUGUUCUCGGAAGGAUUUGAGUAAGAGUUUUAACGGACGGACCCGAAAGACAGUGAACUAUGCUUGUAUAGGGUGAAGCCAGAGGAAACUCUGGUGGAGGCUCGCAGCGGUUCUGACGUGCAAAUCGAUCGUCAAAUAUGAGCAUGGGGGCGAAAGACUAAUCGAACUGUCUAGUAGCUGGUUACCGCCGAAGU